rnacentral:rRNA from 1 species
GAUGAACGCUGGCGGCGUGCCUAAUACAUGCAAGUCGAGCGAACGGACGAGAAGCUUGCUUUUCUGAUGUUAGCGGCGGACGGGUGAGUAACACGUGGAUAACCUACCUAUAAGACUGGGAUAACUUCGGGAAACCGGAGCUAAUACCGGAUAAUAUUUUGAACCGCAUGGUUCAAAAGUGAAAGACGGUCUUGCUGUCACUUAUAGAUGGAUCCGCGCUGCAUUAGCUAGUUGGUAAGGUAACGGCUUACCAAGGCAACGAUGCAUAGCCGACCUGAGAGGGGGAUCGGCCACACUGGAACUGAGACACGGUCCAGACUCCUACGGGAGGCAGCAGUAGGGAAUCUUCCGCAAUGGGCGAAAGCCUGACGGAGCAACGCCGCGUGAGUGAUGAAGGUCUUCGGAUCGUAAAACUCUGUUAUUAGGGAAGAACAUAUGUGUAAGUAACUGUGCACAUCUUGACGGUACCUAAUCAGAAAGCCACGGCUAACUACGUGCCAGCAGCCGCGGUAAUACGUAGGUGGCAAGCGUUAUCCGGAAUUAUUGGGCGUAAAGCGCGCGUAGGCGGUUUUUUAAGUCUGAUGUGAAAGCCCACGGCUCAACCGUGGAGGGUCAUUGGAAACUGGAAAACUUGAGUGCAGAAGAGGAAAGUGGAAUUCCAUGUGUAGCGGUGAAAUGCGCAGAGAUGUGGAGGAACACCAGUGGCGAAGGCGACUUUCUGGUCUGUAACUGACGCUGAUGUGCGAAAGCGUGGGGAUCAAACAGGAUUAGAUACCCUGGUAGUCCACGCCGUAAACGAUGAGUGCUAAGUGUUAGGGGGUUUCCGCCCCUUAGUGCUGCAGCUAACGCAUUAAGCACUCCGCCUGGGGAGUACGACCGCAAGGUUGAAACUCAAAGGAAUUGACGGGGGCCCGCACAAGCGGUGGAGCAUGUGGUUUAAUUCGAAGCAACGCGAAGAACCUUACCAAAUCUUGACAUCCUUUGACAACUCUAGAGAUAGAGCCUUCCCCUUCGGGGGACAAAGUGACAGGUGGUGCAUGGUUGUCGUCAGCUCGUGUCGUGAGAUGUUGGGUUAAGUCCCGCAACGAGCGCAACCCUUAAGCUUAGUUGCCAUCAUUAAGUUGGGCACUCUAAGUUGACUGCCGGUGACAAACCGGAGGAAGGUGGGGAUGACGUCAAAUCAUCAUGCCCCUUAUGAUUUGGGCUACACACGUGCUACAAUGGACAAUACAAAGGGCAGCGAAACCGCGAGGUCAAGCAAAUCCCAUAAAGUUGUUCUCAGUUCGGAUUGUAGUCUGCAACUCGACUACAUGAAGCUGGAAUCGCUAGUAAUCGUAGAUCAGCAUGCUACGGUGAAUACGUUCCCGGGUCU